rnacentral:misc_RNA from 1 species
UCGUGCUGGUGCACCGAACUGCUUUCCUCACGUUCGAUCAGUCAUUGCUCCACGAGAUGACGUUGGAUGCAAAGCGAUGGGUUCCUGUGUUGCCUACCUAUUGUGAUGGGAAUCGGUUGACUUCGUCGUGCCUUUCGUCCUCGCGUCCUCUCGGACGUUCGGAUGGACUAGACGGAAGGGCUCGUGUUCCACGGACGUCUCGCRCGAUCGUCCCGAUGGACCACGAGCUCCUUCUCGUUCUCUCGGAUGCGGAAAGUCCCUCAUGGGCGUGGGUCAUUGGCCCUCGGUCCCGAAUCUGUAAGCGAUCGACGCUUUACAUGGGAAUGACGAUCUCACCUCGUCUUCGACCACGCGGAGCGGACGGGAAACGCUGCCGCGAUGGAUCGUGCGGGUGGACGUCGUGAAGGAAUGC